UGUAAAUAGUUGAUACACAAAUAAAUACUUAGUGAUGGUUUGGUACAUUCACAUUUCCCAUGCCCUCUUCGAUUAGUAAUACAUAAAUUUAGACAAAAAAUUAUGUAGUAGUGGUAGUAGAAGAAAUGCAGGGGACUCAAUUAGUAAUUUGGAUCAUGGCCUUCUUGAGACCACGGAUGACGGUGGAGAACUUGAUGAAGCUUGUUGAUCUUCUCCUGCCCCUUGCCCCUUUCCUCUCACUCUCAGCGAUGAUGUGGUCCUGCACAUUGAUGUAUCCCACGAUCUGGAAGACGCCUCCUCGUCGACGGUGACCCUUACACAAGAUCUGGUAGGCAUCUUGUGACCGGGGCGCAGGGUCGGGCUCACCGGCUGACCGGCGCUGGCGGUCGCCUACUCGUCCGACUACCCGAGGAUUGGUGUUAGUUGGGAGUACGGCCUUCAGGGACUGGAGCUGGACGACUGGGCGACCUGUGGAUGGCAGUCGUGGACAGCGCCACUCGGCGGGGGUCGGCCGAAGGCGCGCGCGGCAGAGUUGAACCGGGCGGCGACCGGCGAGCAACAGCACGGUGAGUCGGUGACGC
rnacentral:lncRNA from 7 species